rnacentral:rRNA from 1 species
UGAACGCUGGCGUCGUGCCUAAUACAUGCAAGUCGAGCGAACAGACGAGGAGCUUGCUCCUCUGACGUUAGCGGCGGACGGGUGAGUAACACGUGGAUAACCUACCUAUAAGACUGGGAUAACUUCGGGAAACCGGAGCUAAUACCGGAUAAUAUAUUGAACCGCAUGGUUCAAUAGUGAAAGACGGUUUUGCUGUCACUUAUAGAUGGAUCCGCGCCGCAUUAGCUAGUUGGUAAGGUAACGGCUUACCAAGGCAACGAUGCGUAGCCGACCUGAGAGGGUGAUCGGCCACACUGGAACUGAGACACGGUCCAGACUCCUACGGGAGGCAGCAGUAGGGAAUCUUCCGCAAUGGGCGAAAGCCUGACGGAGCAACGCCGCGUGAGUGAUGAAGGUCUUCGGAUCGUAAAACUCUGUUAUUAGGGAAGAACAAAUGUGUAAGUAACUAUGCACGUCUUGACGGUACCUAAUCAGAAAGCCACGGCUAACUACGUG